UCGUUUUAUUUUCCGUACUUCCUACCUUUCUCUCUCGUCUCUCUCGUCUCUAGAAAUCCCCUCGCAGCGGUCAUCCCACGCCGCCGCCGCCGCCGCCGCCGCCAGAGUCUCGGUUGCCAGCUCCCCGCAUGUCUCCGCCUCCCUGGAAGUCCGGAUCACGCCGGCUCUCCUCACCCCCGAGGUCUCAUCUCUCCCGGACCUGGAGAUCCUCUCCAAUCCAGAGUUCCUCGUAGAGGGCACCCGCUCACACCGGCGGGGUGAGAGAAGGUAGGCUGCCCCUGCUUGCGGAAGCAUCGGAGUUACGUCUCACGUGCGGCGCCGGUGGAGGAGACAGCCAGCGCGGGAACAAUGGAUGUGGAACAGCUGCUGUCGUGGUCCUCAUCCGGCCUUGAUUUCAAGAUACGAAUUUACGGUAGCACCAAGCAGGGUUGCGUCCAUCAUCCUCAUCAUGUCUGAUCUAGGCCGCCAGAGACCCCGAUCUAUAGGAGCGCUGUACACUGAAUUGGUCAUGCGAAAAGACACAAUAGUAGAUCAUACAAUCUACGCCAUGGAGCCGCUGGUGGGGCUCGACGAGGACGAGCGCUAGGAGGUGUGCAUGAUGCCCAAACGUGGCGUCGAGGCCUUCCGCGUCCGCACCCGAGCCGCAUCACUGCCAAGCUGCUACAAGCAUACAAGGCCUUCCGUGUUCAAGCUGAAAAGGCAAGAAGCUCAUUAUUAACAUGGAUAAAAAAAGGUGGAACGUCUUCUUCUGUAGAAGUACACAAUGGUUGGCUGAAGAUUUGGACUGCUAAAGUUCCAAAAAAGGGGCCUGGAGGAAGCUAUAAGUAAUAUGUGAUUUCUCGUGGCCACUUUUCCCUAAAAAGGGCAGGUUGCCUGGUGAUCUAAAAUUGCCGAUCAGAAAUGUUCUUCAUCGAAGCCCAUUCCAAUCGCCAACAAUUCUGUUUGCACACUCAGGUUACUGCUUUUCUGUGGUGAUUUAUUAAACAUACUUUGGCUUAUGAUCCCCUUUGACGUACACUUGUGCCCUCAACUACACAUUACUUUCAGUUUGCCAAACACUGUAGUAGGUAAUGAACUAUAGAAAGCGGAUUGUUGAGUUUGCCAAGCAUAAUGGCGCACCCAAUUUUGGCAAAUCACCUGAAGAGUAUAUCAAGCAAAGAUGCUUUGAGAUUUUCACAUGAUUAUAUGAGGUUACCAUAAACUCCUGUAUUGCCACAAUAGCUUCUUUUAAUGCAAUAGGGAAUUAUCUUUUUUGUAUCAGGUAAAUAGUUCCUUUCUCACACUUUUUUCAGACCGAGAUCAUUUACUGCUGCUGUGUGGUGUUCUAUGCUCUGCUGUGUUCCUUUUGCUUUUUUUUGGCUUCUUCUCGUUCUUCUUUGGCACCUACGCUCUGCUUGGGGAAACUUUGUACAUGUCAAUACAUAGAUUGGAAUUGAGAUUUGGAGCAAUUUUGUUUGUUUUCCUUUGUACUGAUGUUGCCAUUAUUUGUGUGAUGAUGCCAUUAUAUUGUACAAAGGGAAGAGACAGUUAGAGAGAUUGGAUAGAAAUUACUAACUAAUGUAUUUGUGUUGUAAUUGUUUGUUGUCAAAGCUUAUUGUUUAUUGGUUGUUGUUGCAGAUUGUUGUGAUGGAAAGUCAAUUUUGAUUAUUUCAAAGUAAUGCCAGGUUGAAUAAUUUGAACUAGACUACAACAUGUUGAUCUCGAUCAAGAUGAGUCUGAACAUGAUUAACAUGAUCGUGCAAAUUUUUAGCGACUAAAACAGGUGGGUGAGGUAUUUUUACUCCCGUUGCAACGCACGGGCAUUU